CUUUGUAUUGUUAAAGAAAAAAAAAAAAGAAAAAAAGAGAGAUGGAUAUAGAAGGUCUGGUGGUACAGUGUAAAUAAUGAUGUCAUUAUUUGUCUAAGAAAAGAUUUGUACAGUUGUUUCAGACGUGCACUUAUCCUGAUAUUUUCCUGUUUGCUGUUUAAUAUCAGUUAAUUGCUAGAGCUCUUGAUAAUAAACAUAUCGAUGUGUCCUAAAUAGCAGUUCAAAGUCUCAACGUCUUGUUAUUCAGUAAGAUGGCAGAGACUUUGGAGUGACGUCACCACCAGUGGAGUGUUGGCAUACCUGGAAAAAUACACGUUUCCUUUACCGUCGCUUGAAACGUUCUCAGGAUGAAUUGUAUGGUGAAUACAACGGGGUUUGAAAUUAGCACAACUUGGAGGGUGCUACGGUCCGUUAAUGUUCGUCGUGGUACAAGCACACCCAGACCUGGGAGAGAGCAGGAUGUUGGUGGAAAGCCAUGGGCACAUGUUGGAAAUUCAUGACAUGUACUUCUCAGGGCUCUGUGUCACUGUUUACAGAGACGGCACUGGGUCAAAACAUGAAAUUCCCAUCAAGUAUCAUCUGUGCUCGUUUAAAAACACUGGGCAGACGGAGGUACUGACGACUUCAGUGAGUAAAAAUAUUCAGCUCCAACUCCAAAACCAAACGCUGCGUUGAACAACAGGACCUGAUCGUGGACCUGAUCGUGGACCUGUUCCUGGUGAUCUCGUUGUCUUCCUCUUCUUGUUUGCAGACACAGGCACACAGUGGCGAUGUAGAACCACGUAGCACCAGCUUUGGAUUCUAAGCAGCGGCAGCAGCAGCAGCAGCGGCGGC